CCUACGGGAGGCAGCAGUGGGGAAUAUUGCACAAUGGGCGCAAGCCUGAUGCAGCCAUGCCGCGUGUAUGAAGAAGGCCUUCGGGUUGUAAAGUACUUUCAGCGAGGAGGAAGGCGAUACGGUUAAUAACCGUGUCGAUUGACGUUACUCGCAGAAGAAGCACCGGCUAACUCCGUGCCAGCAGCCGCGGUAAU
rnacentral:rRNA from 1 species